AACAUGUGGGGCCCACAUGUCAGUUCUAUCCCCUUCCUCUAAAAUUCCCCAUGGAGGAUCUAGAUCAGGGGGUCCCGUCACCUGCGAGCUCCGGUGGCCAUCCUCUGCACCGGAGACCUCCCCUGCCUGUGGUUGUGCCCGUCGGGCACCACCACCUACGCCCGUGAGUGGCUUGCGGGGUGAGGGGAUGUGGAAGCCAAGGCAUGGAAAGGGCGGGGCGGCGGGCGCGUGCUGGCAGAGCUCCUGCCGCGGCGGCGGAGAAAGAAGAGAUCGCCGGUGAGGCUCUUGUGGCCGAGGGGUUGCGGGCGUCGUGGGAGCCGCAGGGAGGAGUAGGAGGUCUUGGGCGAGACAGAGGAGGGGCAAUGGUGACAGCGCCAUGUACAAGAGUCCUCAGCCAUGGCGGCGCCCCUCACUUUGGUGGUCUCGGUCCGAUACGACGAGCAGAGGAUGGCGGCUGCUCGUGGUUGUGGCCUUGCGCCGCGCGGCGGUUGUGAAGCGCAUCGGGCCUGUUGCCGCCCGUCGAUGCGGACACCGGGUAGUAGCACGACUCGCCGACGGGAGGAUGGGAGGCACACUGCUCACCGGGGGAGGAGGGAGGGUCGCAGGGUGGUGGCUGGGUAGAUGGUUGGAGGAUGGAGGUGCUGAGGGGAAGGAGGUGGAGUGUGGCCUGAGCUGCGGCAUGGCGGCGCCCCUGAUCUGGAUCCUCGGUGGGGAAUUUCAGAGCAAGGAGAUGGAACUGGCAUAUGAGCCCCACAUAUUCACGGUCAAAGCAACGGUGUUGGCUAUUUCCGCAUUGAUGGGUGGGCCCAGCCUAUCAUAAUCGGGUUUAGUCCAUCACUUUUCAGACUGGUAGUUUUUAGCAAAGGAUUAGGAAAAAAAUGGUAGUUUUUCGUACAAAAUCAUAAAGUGGUAGUUUCUGGGCACGUUUUCAUGAAAUGUGGUAGUUUUUGGUUAAAUACUCGCUUUAUCACCACUCACCGGUUUGGUAAGUAAAAAUUGUGGUUCGAACUAUGCCUCGUUGAGCCAUCUGUGACUUAUGUCUCCAUUACAAAUGCAGCCAUAUGUGAUGGAGGAGGGGAUGGAGAGGAUACCAGCCAUGCGAUUCUUAAGUUUUGCAAUGGGAAACUACAUGGUGUGGAUUUGGUUUGGUUGGCUCGGGGAUGAUCCUUUGGUGAUGUGGCCUAAUGUUACCGGUUUUAUCGUGUCAAUCGUCUUGCUGAUCCUACAUGUGGUGAUAUCUGGGUGGGCGAUGGAGUACAUGGCGCUUCCGCACAACGACUGAAUGUGAUGGGAUCUGGAGGCGGACUGAUGAAUGAUGAUGAUCGUGCAGGUCUUCAAUUCUCAAAUCAAUGGGAAAACAAUUAGGUCUCAUAUCUGUUGCUGCAAUGAAUGUUUCUUCCGGGGGCAAUCUGAACUUAGUCUGGAGUUACUAUUUUUCUAUGUUCUGAGACUUCAUUAGCCUAAAGCUAUUUUGCAUGGUCCAAAACAAGAAAAUGUAGUAGUUUUGCUCAGAUUUAGGAUGGAAGCCUAGAGCUAUUGCUAUGUUCUGAGAUUUGUUAAGCCUGAAUUAAUUCUUGUCUGAAUGUCUGGCGCACGGAUAGUAUGGUUUAGCCUUUCGCAACAACAAAAAAUGGAUAGUCUUCAUGCGUGCACAUUUUCAGGGGGUUUACCCUCAUCUCAUGGGUGAUAUGGAACACAAGGAAUGAUUUCAUUUUGAGGGGGGAUCACUCCUAGUCUUCAUGCGUGCUGAAGAAAAUUCAAGGAAGAAAUGCAAUGGCUAGUGCACAGAGUCAAGCGAAAAUCAUCUGAAACACUUUCAGAUUGGGUUUUGGCUUUUAGAUAGUUCACAGUUCAGAGGCUCUCCCUUUGUUCAUUAGCUUCUUCCUCUUUCUUAUAUUCUUUUUUAUUCUUUCUUGUACAUAACUCAUUAUUCUGGAAAUUUAUAAAAAUCACUGUGGGUGGGAUGAAAUUCCUGCAGUCUGGGGUCAAAAACAUGAAGAUCCUCAAUAUUCACAAACAGAAGUCCAUCUGCACACCGUGCUUUUUGAAACAAAAACAGAAAAACUGUACACAUGGUGCUCACCGGCAUGUUGAAUUGAGUUCCAGUAGCCUUGACGGUUCUUGUGCCGCAU